UAAUUGAAGAGUAUAGAUCAGGCUCAGAUGAACGCAGACGGCAGGCUUAACACAUGCAAGUCGAGCGGUACACAGGGGAGCUUGCUCCCUGGGUGACCGAGCGGCGGACGGGUGAAGUAAUGUCAGGAACUGCCUGAUGGAGGGGGAAAACUACUGGAAACGGUAGCUAAUAACGCGCAUAACGUCGCAAGACCAAAGAUGGGACCUUCCCGGCCUCUUGCCAUCAGAUGUGCCCGAUGGGAUUAGCAUAGUAGUGGGGUAAUGGCUCACCAAGGCGACGAUCCCUAGCUGGUCUGAGAGGAUACCAGCCACACUGGAACAGAGACACGGUCCAGACUCCUACUGGAGGCAUCAGUGGGGAAUAUUGCACAAUGGGCGCAAGCCUGAUGCAGCCAUGCCGCGUUGUGAAGAAGCCUUCGGUAGUAAAGCACUUUCCAGCGAGGAGGAAGGUGGUGAGCUUAAAUACUUUCAUCAAUUGACGUUACUCGCAGAAGAAGCACCAGCUAACUCCGUGCCAGAGCCGCGGUAAUACGGAAGGUGCUAGCGUUAUUCGAAUUACUGGGCGUAAAGCGCACGCAGGCGGUUUGUUUAAGUCUGAUGUAAAUCCCCGGGCUCAACCUGGGAACUGCAUUUGAAACUGGCAAGCAGAGUCUCGUAGAGGGGGUAGAAUACCAGGGGUAGCGGUGAAAUGCGUAGAGAUCUUGGAGGAAUACCGGUGGCGAAGACGCCCCCUGGACGAAGACAGACGCUCAGGUGCGAAAGCGGGGGAGCAAACAGAAUAGAUACCCUGGUAGUCCACGUGUAUACGAUGUCGAUUUGGAGGUUUGCCCUUGAGGCGUGGCUCCGAUCUAACGCGUUAAAUCGCCGCCUGGGGAGUACGCUGCGCAAAGGUUAAAACCAAAAAUGAAUUUGCGGGGGCCCGCACAAGCGUUGGAGCAUGGUGGUUUAAUUCGAUGCAACGCGAAUAACUUACCUACUCUUGACAUCCAAGAACUUAGCAAGAUGCUUUGGUGCCUUCGGGAAACUCUGAGACAGGUGCUGCAUGCUGUCCCCGUCAUCUCGUGUUGUGAAUGUUGGUUUAAGGUCCCGCCAACGACGCAACCCUUAUCCUUUGUUGCCACGGUUCGGCCGGGAACUCAAAGGAGAACUGCCAUGAUAAACUGGAGUAAGGUGGAUGACGACAAGUCCUCAUGGCACUUACGAGUUGGGCUUACACACUGCUACAAUGGCGAAGAAAGAGGAAGCGACCUCGCGAGAGCAAGCGGACCUCAUAAAGUACGUCGUCGUCCGGAUUGGAGUCUGCAACUCGACUCCCAUGAAGUCGGAUCGCUUAGUAAUCGUAGAUCAUAAUGCUACGGUGAUACUUCCCGUGCCUUGUAACACCGCCCGUCACACCCAUGGGAUUGGGUUUCAAUAGAAGUAGGUAGCUUAACCUUCGGAGGCGCUUACCACUUUGUGAUUCUAUGACUGGGGUGAAGUCGUAACAGGUAACCGUAGGGGAACCUGCGGUUUGAUUCACCUCCUUA
rnacentral:rRNA from 1 species